rnacentral:rRNA from 1 species
GGGGAUAACAGGCUGAUACCGCCCAAGAGUUCACAUCGACGGCGGUGUUUGGCACCUCGAUGUCGGCUCAUCACAUCCUGGGGCUGAAGCCGGUCCCAAGGGUAUGGCUGUUCGCCAUUUAAAGUGGUGCGCGAGCUGGGUUUAGAACGUCGUGAGACAGUUCGGUCCCUAUCUGCCGUGGACGUUGGAAAAUUGAGAAGAGCUGCUCCUAGUACGAGAGGACCGGAGUGGACGAACCCCUGGUGUUCGGGUUGUGUCGCCAGACGCAUUGCCCGGUAGCUACGUUCGGACAGGAUAACCGCUGAAAGCAUCUAAGCGGGAAGCCCCCUUCAAGAUAAGUUUUCCCUGGGAAUUUAAUUCCCCUAAAGAGCCGUUAAAGACUAUGACGUUGAUAGGCUGGGUGUGUAAGUGCGGUAACGUAUUGAGCUAACCAGUACUAAUUGCUCGUGAGGCUUAACUAUAUAACGCCCAAG